UGGGGCGUGGCCAAGCGGUAAGGCAUCGCUUUUUGGUAGCGACAUGCGCAGGUUCGAAUCCUGCCGCCCCAGCCA
rnacentral:tRNA from 1 species